rnacentral:rRNA from 1 species
GACGAACGCUGGCGGCGUGCUUAACACGUGCAAGUCGAACGGUAAGGCUCCAGCUUGCUGGGGUACACGAGUGGCGAACGGGUGAGUAACACGUGGGUGACCUGCCCUGCACUUCGGGAUAAGCCUGGGAAACUGGGUCUAAUACCGGAUAGGACCGCACCGUGAGGGCGUGGUGGAAAGUUUUUUCGGUGUGGGAUGGGCCCGCGGCCUAUCAGCUUGUUGGUGGGGUAAUGGCCUACCAAGGCGGCGACGGGUAGCCGGCCUGAGAGGGUGGACGGCCACAUUGGGACUGAGACACGGCCCAGACUCCUACGGGAGGCAGCAGUGGGGAAUAUUGCACAAUGGGCGGAAGCCUGAUGCAGCGACGCCGCGUGGGGGAUGACGGCCUUCGGGUUGUAAACUCCUUUCACCAUCGACGAAGGGUUUCUGAUGGUAGAUGGAGAAGAAGCACCGGCUAACUACGUGCCAGCAGCCGCGGUAAUACGUAGGGUGCGAGCGUUGUCCGGAAUUACUGGGCGUAAAGAGCUCGUAGGUGGUUUGUCGCGUCGUCUGUGAAAUUCCGGGGCUUAACUCCGGGCGUGCAGGCGAUACGGGCAUAACUUGAGUACUGUAGGGGAGACUGGAAUUCCUGGUGUAGCGGUGAAAUGCGCAGAUAUCAGGAGGAACACCGGUGGCGAAGGCGGGUCUCUGGGCAGUAACUGACGCUGAGGAGCGAAAGCAUGGGGAGCGAACAGGAUUAGAUACCCUGGUAGUCCAUGCCGUAAACGGUGGGCGCUAGGUGUGGGUUUCCUUCCACGGGAUCCGUGCCGUAGCUAACGCAUUAAGCGCCCCGCCUGGGGAGUACGGCCGCAAGGCUAAAACUCAAAGGAAUUGACGGGGGCCCGCACAAGCGGCGGAGCAUGUGGAUUAAUUCGAUGCAACGCGAAGAACCUUACCUGGGCUUGACAUAUACAGGAUCGCGCCAGAGAUGGUGUUUCCCUUGUGGCUUGUAUACAGGUGGUGCAUGGUUGUCGUCAGCUCGUGUCGUGAGAUGUUGGGUUAAGUCCCGCAACGAGCGCAACCCUUGUCUUAUGUUGCCAGCACGUUGUGGUGGGGACUCGUAAGAAACUGCCGGGGUUAACUCGGAGGAAGGUGGGGAUGACGUCAAAUCAUCAUGCCCCUUAUGUCCAGGGCUUCACACAUGCUACAAUGGUCGGUACAGUGGGUUGCCAGUCCGUGAGGGCGAGCUAAUCCCGCAAAGCCGGUCUCAGUUCGGAUCGGGGUCUGCAACUCGACCCCGUGAAGUCGGAGUCGCUAGUAAUCGCAGAUCAGCAACGCUGCGGUGAAUACGUUCCCGGGCCU